rnacentral:rRNA from 1 species
CCUGAUACCAUCUCGAACUCAGAAGUGAAACAUUUCCGCGCCAAUGAUAGUGUGAGGCUUCCUC